CAAAAUGUUAUACCUACACUAAGUAUACACGUGUCAAACUUGGUGAUUAUACUUUUCAUUCCUAACAUCCGAAACUGAUCGAUUCUGCCAGGAUCCCAGACAAUGGAGUGGAGCUACUUUUGGAUGCUAAAGUUAUGGAAGAAUAAUACUAAUAAGAGAGUACCUGAAAUAAGGAUAAAACAUUUCCUCACGUUCAUUUUCCAUUACAAAAGCCAAUUCAUCAUCUAAAUAGGCGUUCAAAAUACCCAUUCUGAGAAUCCGUAUCAUUCCCAGUCAAUUAAUUAGGGAGAAUGCUGGCUAAGCGAUCCGUUGAAUAAGACCGUGAGAGUACAUUUUUCAGAAGAAAAUGGAACACUUACAAGAAUUGACUUCAAAUUAAUCUGUUCGUGAUUAAAAACAGAAUC